UACAGAGGUCCCCAAGCGUUGUUCGGAUUCAUUGGGCGUAAAGGGUGCGUAGGCGGCGCGGUAAGUCGGGUGUGAAAUCUUGGAGCUUAACUCCGAAACUGCAUUCGAUACUGCCGUGCUUGAGGACUGGAGAGGAGACUGGAAUUUACGGUGUAGCGGUGAAAUGCGUAGAUAUCGUAAGGAAGACCAGUGGCGAAGGCGGGUCUCUGGACAGUUCCUGACGCUGAGGCACGAAGGCCAGGGGGAGCAAACGGG
rnacentral:rRNA from 1 species